rnacentral:lncRNA from 1 species
GCAGAAUUCAUAAUCUGGUGUUUGUCGACAAAUCUUAUGGAUUAAUGCUUGAGUAGGAUCAUCGCCUAAGGUGGGUUGAAUGACGGAGAAGAUGAUGAACCAUGCAGAAAAGAUCAAGAGCCAAUGAAUGAAAUCCAUGGAAAAAAUUUCAAUGAACUUGAGAUCGAGAGAGAAAAACUGAGAUUACCCCCGUAUUGUAAUGUCUAUGGUUCAAUUAAACAAAGUAAGCCAUCUUGGUAUUUAAACAAAAAAAAGAGUCCUUUUUUCAGUACGUACAUGCUAGAUUAUCUUGUUAUCUGUUAUCUGAUUAUCAAAAUUUGUUUGAAUUUUGUUAUUCAGAUUGCUAUAACUUGAGGGGAUUUUUUAUUUUUCAUAAUGAAGAUGGC